AUUGAACGCUGGCGGCAGGCCUAACACAUGCAAGUCGAACGAGUGGCGGACGGGUGAGUAAUGUCUGGGAAACUGCCUGAUGGAGGGGGAUAACUACUGGAAACGGUAGCUAAUACCGCAUACCAUCAGAUGUGCCCAGAUGGGAUUAGCUAGUAGGUGGGGUAAUGGCUAACCUAGGCGACGAUCCCUAGCGGGUCUGAGGGGAUGACCGGCCACACGGGAACUGAGACAGGGUCCAGACCCCAAGGGGAGGCAGGAGGGGGGAAUAUUGAAAAAUGGGCGAAAGCCGGAGGCAGCAUGCCGCGUGUGUGAAGAAGGCCUUCGGGUUGUAAAGCACUUUCAGCGAGGAGGCGUUACUCGCAGAAGAAGCACCGGCUAACUCCGUGCCAGCAGCCGCGGUAAUAC
rnacentral:rRNA from 1 species